ACAUCACAUUAUUCUCAAAGCUCCAUUUCUGGGUCAGCUUUCCCACACUAGAAAGAAGAGAGCUUUUGAUGCUUCCUUCUCCAUGAUGCUUAAGAGAUCUGCUCCAGAAGAUGAGCCAGCACUUAUUUCCAAAGCUACAGAGGUUGUCUCUAAGGGACGUUUUAAAGAAUGCCAUUUAAAGUGACCACACGGUAGACUGAAGAAAAAGAAGUAACAAACUGUAUACAGACAUCACGGAAAAGAAAGCCAUCAUGGAAAAAAGUGUGCUGACAAAGAAGAUUACUCCUUCAAGCAAGGUUGCGUCUAUUCUCUGAUGGGCAGCCUUUAAAUUAAAAGGUGCGGGUAGCCAAUAAGUACCUUCAGAGAAGAGGAUGGGAGGACCACGAUGACAAAAAUCGUCCAGAUUCUAUUACAUGUUAUUUGUCACUCAAAAGAAAGGCUUUAACCGACAAAAGCAGGCUUUUCCCCAGACGGUGACUUUGCUGGUGUUUGCUGACACAAGAGUCUGAGAAGUGAGAGACGAAAGGAAAGGAGGACGGGUACCAGUCACAAGCUCCUUCAGCAUUAAAGCAGUGACUAACACUAAUUACGCCUCUCAGACCUGUUUGAGCAGACCUAUUUUCUCUAUGAAUUAAUGCAGAGUGACCUACUUUUCUACAUGUUAUUUGUUA